rnacentral:rRNA from 1 species
GAUGAACGCUGGCGGCGUGCUUAACACAUGCAAGUCGAACGGUGAAGGCGGAGCUUGCUCUGCUGGAUCAGUGGCGAACGGGUGAGUAACACGUGAGCAAUCUGCCCCUGACUCUGGGAUAAGCGCUGGAAACGGCGUCUAAUACUGGAUACGAGCUGCGAAGGCAUCUUCAGCAGCUGGAAAGAAUUUCGGUCAGGGAUGAGCUCGCGGCCUAUCGGCUUGUUGGUGAGGUAAUGGCUCACCAAGGCGUCGACGGGUAGCCGGCCUGAGAGGGUGACCGGCCACACUGGGACUGAGACACGGCCCAGACUCCUACGGGAGGCAGCAGUGGGGAAUAUUGCACAAUGGGCGAAAGCCUGAUGCAGCAACGCCGCGUGAGGGACGACGGCCUUCGGGUUGUAAACCUCUUUUAGCAGGGAAGAAGCGAAAGUGACGGUACCUGCAGAAAAAGCGCCGGCUAACUACGUG